rnacentral:rRNA from 1 species
AAUGAACGCUGGCGGCAGGCCUAACACAUGCAAGUCGAACGGAUCCUUCGGGAUUAGUGGCGGACGGGUGAGUAACGUGUGGGAACGUACCCCUUUCUUCGGAAUAGCCUCGGGAAACUGGGAGUAAUACCGGAUAAGCCCUAUUGGGGAAAGAUUUAUCGGGAAGGGAUCGGCCCGCGUUGGAUUAGGUAGUUGGUGGGGUAAUGGCCUACCAAGCCGACGAUCCAUAGCUGGUUUGAGAGGAUGAUCAGCCACACUGGGACUGAGACACGGCCCAGACUCCUACGGGAGGCAGCAGUGGGGAAUCUUAGACAAUGGGGGAACCCUGAUCUAGCCAUGCCGCGUGAUCGAUGAAGGCCUUAGGGUGUAAGAUCUUUCAGUGGGGAAGAUAAUGACGGUACCCACAGAAGAAGCCCCGGCUAACUCCGUGCCAGCAGCCGCGGUAAUGUCAGUGACU